rnacentral:lncRNA from 1 species
GGCAGCUUUUAUUUUAGCCCUUAGGGACGAAAGCGGCAAUGUACUUGAUUGAAUUUUCUUUUCUUUUGAGAAUGUAGAAAGUAUCGCCUUAGGAAUCUUGCAGAUACUGAUUCAGAAGGUCUGGGUGGUGCCUGAGAUUCAGCCCAAUAUAGUAAGUGAUGCCCAUGCUGCUGGUCUAUGGACUGCAUUUGAAUGGCAAGCCCUUCACAGAGCCAGCAGAGCCUCCUUUUGCACAAGGUAACCAAAGGAAGGUUGGCAAGAGAAUCUAGAAAAUUUGUAGACUUCUUGCUAUGAUAUUAGGAAGAGCAUGAAAAGGAAGAAAUGGAGCUGAGAGCUAAAAGAUAUCUGUUCUGGAGAGGACGUGGGAUUGACUCACAGUAGCUUUAAGAUUCCCAGCAACAUUUUUAACACUGAAAUUCUGAUGUAACUGAUUCUAAGAAUUCACAUUAAAAUCUACGUCACUUUAUUCCUCAGUGAAAAUCUACAACAGCCUCUUGACACACCUAAGGUGCUCCUGUUUUUUUUGAAAAUAUGCCACAGAGUGUUUGCUGAAGUAUCAGGAAUAAUUAAA